rnacentral:rRNA from 1 species
UACAGAGCCUGCAAGCGUUAUUCGGAUUCACUGGGCGUAAAGGGUGCGCAGGCGGCCAAGUGUGUGAGGCGUGAAAGCCUGGGGCUUAACUCCAGAAUUGCACCUCAAACUACAUGGCUAGAGCAUUGGAGAGGGUAGCAGAAUUCACGGUGUAGCAGUGAAAUGCGUAGAUAUCGUGAGGAAUAUCAGUGGCGAAGGCGGCUUUCUGGACUAAUACUGACGAUCAGGUGCGAAAGCGUGGGGAGCAAACAGG